GAUGAAGAACGUAGCGAAAUGCGAUAAGUAAUGUGAAUUGCAGAAUUCAGUGAAUCAUCGAAUCUUUGAACGCACAUUGCGCCCCCUGGUAUUCCGGGGGGCAUGCCUGUUCGAGCGUCAUUUCAACCCUCAAGCCCCCCUGGCUUGGUGUUGGACGGUUUUGGUGGGACGUGCAGCCUCUCACCCCUCCUAAAGACAAUGACGGCGGCGUCGUUGGAACCCCCGGUACACUGAGCUUCUUAACUGAGCACGUACUGGAUGCGGGUACGCGAUGCACGGUCUGCCUCCCCUUUAGGGAGAACUUUUUCUUAAGGUUGACCUCGGAUCAGGUAGGAAUACCCGCUGAACUUAAGCAUAUCAAUAAGCGGAGGA
rnacentral:misc_RNA from 1 species